rnacentral:rRNA from 1 species
GACGAACGCUGGCGGCGUGCCUAAUACAUGCAAGUUGAGCGCUGAAGGUUGGUACUUGUACCAACUGGAUGAGCAGCGAACGGGUGAGUAACGCGUGGGGAAUCUGCCUUUGAGCGGGGGACAACAUUUGGAAACGAAUGCUAAUACCGCAUAAAAACUUUAAACACAAGUUUUAAGUUUGAAAGAUGCAAUUGCAUCACUCAAAGAUGAUCCCGCGUUGUAUUAGCUAGUUGGUGAGGUAAAGGCUCACCAAGGCGAUGAUACAUAGCCGACCUGAGAGGGUGAUCGGCCACAUUGGGACUGAGACACGGCCCAAACUCCUACGGGAGGCAGCAGUAGGGAAUCUUCGGCAAUGGACGAAAGUCUGACCGAGCAACGCCGCGUGAGUGAAGAAGGUUUUCGGAUCGUAAAACUCUGUUGGUAGAGAAGAACGUUGGAGAGAGUGGAAAGCUCAUCAAGUGACGGUAACUACCCAGAAAGGGACGGCUAACUACGUG